rnacentral:rRNA from 1 species
AGUGCACCAGGCGAGAAUAUUGGACAAUGGGCGAAAGCCUGAUCCAGCAAUGCCGCGUGAGUGAAGAAGGCCUUCGGGUUGUAAAGCUCUUUUACCCGGGAAGAUAAUGACCGUACCGGGAGAAUAAGCCCCGGCUAACUCCGUGCCAGCAGCCGCGGUAAUACGGAGGGGGCUAGCGUCGUUCGGAAUCACUGGGCGUAAAGCGUACGUAGGCGGCCAUUCAAGUCAGAGGUGAAAGCCCAGGGCUCAACCCUGGAACUGCCUUUGAAACUAGAUGGCUGGAACACGGGAGAGGUGAGUGGAAUUCCGAGUGUAGAGGUGAAAUUCGUAGAUAUUCGGAAGAACACCAGUGGCGAAGGCGGCUCACUGGACCGUUGUUGACGCUGAGGUACGAAAGCGUGGGGAGCAAACAGGAUUAGAUACCCUAGUAGUCC